CAGUCGCCACGGUAAUACGUAGGGUGCAAGCGUUAAUCGGAAUUACGGGGCGUAAAGCGUGCGCAGGCGGCUAUUCAAGACAGAUGUGAAAUCCCCGGGCUCAACCUGGGAACUGCAUUUGUGACUGGAUGACCAGAGUACGGCAGAGGGGGAUGGAAUUCCGCGUGUAGCAGUGAAAUGCGUAGAUAUGCGGAGGAACACCGAUGGCGAAGGCAAUCCCCUGGGCCUGUACUGACGCUCAUGCGCGAAAGCGUGGGGAGCAAACAGGAUUAGAUACCCGAGUAGUCCCUGUCUCUUAUAU
rnacentral:rRNA from 1 species